AAACUUACUUGGCGCCGCGACCAGGUGGAGGCUCGCCUUUGCACUUCGGCGUGGUGAAGUCUGCGACGAUCCUUACCUAAUCGGGCUCGCUUGGACGCUUAGUUUUUUCUAGUGGGUAGGUCUUUGGAUCAUCCCUUU
rnacentral:snRNA from 15 species